CACGCCCCCUCGCGCGCAGCGCGGACCGCUCACACACAGAGCUGGAGACGAUCACCAAUCAAGACACCUGGCAGUGAUUACGGACGACAGAAUAAAGAUUCCCGCCGCUGAACCCUCGUCGUUGGAACGUUGCUAUUGCUUGCACCCCUGUCUCCAUUCCUGCUGCCAUCCUCUCUGGAACCCUGAUUUGCUCUCCUGGAUCCCUGACACAUUGCCUGGACUUUGGACGCUCUCUCCUGCCCCACGACCACGCUCGGACACCGGAUUGCUUUUGCCUUCUCCCUCUGGUUUUGGACGCCACCAUCCAACACGCACGACAACAUUCUUUACGGUAUUUCCAUAUGUUAAUUCCAGCACAUAGUUCACACUCAAACACAUAGUAGCAUACACAUCCCACGUAAUCAUUAAUUACUCAAUAAAUAUUGAGUUGGACUUCCA